rnacentral:rRNA from 1 species
GAGUAAUGCUUAGGAAUCUGCCAUUUAGUGGGGGACAACAUUCCGAAAGGAAUGCUAAUACCGCAUACGUCCUACGGGAGAAAGCAGGGGAUCUUCGGACCUUGCGCUAAAUGAUGAGCCUAAGUCGGAUUAGCUAGUUGGUGGGGUAAAGGCCUACCAAGGCGACGAUCUGUAGCGGGUCUGAGAGGAUGAUCCGCCACACUGGGACUGAGACACGGCCCAGACUCCUACGGGAGGCAGCAGUGGGGAAUAUUGGACAAUGGGCGGAAGCCUGAUCCAGCCAUGCCGCGUGUGUGAAGAAGGCCUUUUGGUUGUAAAGCACUUUAAGCGAGGAGGAGGCUACCUGGAUUAAUACUCUAGGAUAGUGGACGUUACUCGCAGAAUAAGCACCGGCUAACUCUGUGCCAGCAGCCGCGGUAAUACAGAGGGUGCGAGCGUUAAUCGGAUUUACUGGGCGUAAAGCGNCGUAGGCGGCUGAUUAAGUCGGAUGUGAAAUCCCUGAGCUUAACUUAGGAAUUGCAUUCGAUACUGGUCAGCUAGAGUAUGGGAGAGGAUGGUAGAAUUCCAGGUGUAGCGGUGAAAUGCGUAGAGAUCUGGAGGAAUACCGAUGGCGAAGGCAGCCAUCUGGCCUAAUACUGACGCUGAGGUACGAAAGCAUGGGGAGCAAACAGGAUUAGAUACCCUGGUAGUCCAUGCCGUAAACGAUGUCUACUAGCCGUUGGGGCCUUUGAGGCUUUAGUGGCGCAGCUAACGCGAUAAGUAGACCGCCUGGGGAGUACGGUCGCAAGACUAAAACUCAAAUGAAUUGACGGGGGCCCGCACAAGCGGUGGAGCAUGUGGUUUAAUUCGAUGCAACGCGAAGAACCUUACCUGGCCUUGACAUACUAGAAACUUUCCAGAGAUGGAUUGGUGCCU